UCUAUUUUACAGAUAGAAAUUGACAUAGAACCAACAGAUAAGGUUGAAAGAAUAAAAGAAAGAGUAGAAGAGAAAGAAGGAAUCCCUCCACCGCAGCAGCGAUUAAUUUUUAGUGGAAAACAAAUGAAUGACGAUAAAACAGCAGCUGAUUACAAAGUUCAAGGUGGUUCUGUUCUUCAUUUAGUCUUGGCACUCCGAGGUGGUCAUCAUCUAGUCAACUGACCGGUCGAACAUUAAUUAUGACUGACACUGAUCAAUUUCACAUACCUAAAUAGAAGUAAAUUCAGCAUACCAUAAUACAACAGUCAACAGCUCACCUUGCAGAAUAGUUUAGUUUUCAACCUAUCUUCUUGUGUCAGCACUUAGAGUAGAUUCCCAUGUACCGUUAGAUAAUGCUUUUGCAUCUAGUAGUAUUUAUAUAUAUGACACUAUUAUGUAGUCGACUUUUUUUUUGUUUUAUUUUACUGGCUGAGAUGAAAAAAAAAACUAACUACUUGAUGUUAUGUUUAAAAAAAUAAAAGAAAUACAGAUUUUGAUAAAAUAAAGGAUACUAGGUGGAUUUUUUGCUUACUGUGAAAUCUCGCGUAAUGCGUGAAAGACGUCGACUGAAAAAACAAAUGAUUUGAUUUUGUACUUAAAUUUCUUUUUUCAUACUUCAGUGUUGAAAUGCUGAACGUUCAGGGGGGGGGGGUAUCGCAUUCAAUUGAGAUGCCCAUACUUCUUCAAACUGACUGUGUAUGUGUAUAGCACGUUAUUCAGCUGGAAGGUGUUUUUAUGUACGAUUUCACAUAUAACGUAGAAUAUUGCAAUGAAUGGAAGGAAAUGAUGCAUCACUGACUCUCAUUUCUCUGUGUGUAAGUGAGUGUACUGUAAACUUACCUGCUACAAAUGUUUUUAACUUUGUCCUUUUAUGGGAUUAAAUUACAUGAAGCUCUGAUUAUCUGUGUCUAUAAAGAACUGGGAAUUGUCACGGCUUAAACCAGUUUUUCUGGUAUCCAAGCACUGUCUUGAGAUUUCCAAGAGGAAUUUGAAAAUGAUGCAUGUGUGUAGGACACAAAUACAAAUCAAGCUGUUGAAAAUAACUGGGAAUAAAAAAUGCAGAAAUUGUUGCAAAAUUA